rnacentral:rRNA from 1 species
UACAGAGGUGGCAAGCGUUGUUCGGAAUUACUGGGCGUAAAGCGUGCGCAGGCGGUUUUGUAAGCCAGAUGUGAAAUCCCCGGGCUUAACCUGGGAAUGGCAUUUGGGACUGCAAGGCUCGAGUGCGGCAGAGGAGACUGGAAUUCCUGGUGUAGCAGUGAAAUGCGUAGAUAUCAGGAGGAACACCGAUGGCGAAGGCAGGUCUCUGGGCUGGCACUGACGCUCAUGCACGAAAGCGUGGGGAGCAAACAGG